GACGAACGCUGGCGGCGUGCCUAAUACAUGCAAGUCGAACGGUCUUUUCUAUGGAAGCUUGCUUCCGCUGAGAAGAUAGUGGCGGACGGGUGAGUAACACGUGGGUAACCUGCCCAUAAGAGGGGGAUAACAUCCGGAAACGGGUGCUAAUACCGCAUAGUUUUCUUGAUCGCAUGAUCGGGAAAGGAAAGACGGCCUUUGUGCUGUCGCUUAUGGAUGGACCCGCGGCGUAUUAGUUAGUUGGUGAGGUAAUGGCUCACCAAGACGAUGAUACGUAGCCGACCUGAGAGGGUGAUCGGCCACAUUGGGACUGAGACACGGCCCAAACUCCUACGGGAGGCAGCAGUAGGGAAUCUUCCGCAAUGGACGAAAGUCUGACGGAGCAACGCCGCGUGAGUGAAGAAGGUUUUCGGAUCGUAAAACUCUGUU
rnacentral:rRNA from 1 species